rnacentral:rRNA from 1 species
UACGGAGGGUGCAAGCGUUGCUCGGAAUCACUGGGCGUAAAGCGUGCGUAGGCGGGUUUCCAAGUCGGAUGUGAAAUCCCGGAGCUCAACUCCGGAACUGCACCCGAUACUGUUAACCUUGAGUGCUGGAGAGGAAAGCGGAAUUCCCGGAGUAGCGGUGAAAUGCGUAGAUAUCGGGAAGAACACCCGUGGCGAAAGCGGCUUUCUGGACAGACACUGACGCUGAGGCACGAAAGCGUGGGGAGCAAACAGG